rnacentral:rRNA from 1 species
GACGAACGCUGGCGGCGUGCUUAACACAUGCAAGUCGAACGGAAAGGCCCUGCUUUUGUGGGGUGCUCGAGUGGCGAACGGGUGAGUAACACGUGAGUAACCUGCCCUUGACUUUGGGAUAACUUCAGGAAACUGGGGCUAAUACCGGAUAGGAGCUCCUGCUGCAUGGUGGGGGUUGGAAAGUUUCGGCGGUUGGGGAUGGACUCGCGGCUUAUCAGCUUGUUGGUGGGGUAGUGGCUUACCAAGGCUUUGACGGGUAGCCGGCCUGGGAGGGUGACCGGCCACAUUGGGACUGAGAUACGGCCCAGACUGCUACGGGAGGCACCAGUGGGGAAUAUUGCACAAUGGGCGGAAGCCUGAUGCAGCAACGCCGCGUGCGGGAUGACGGCCUUCGGGUUGUAAACCGCUUUCGCCUGUGACGAAGCGUGAGUGACGGUAAUGGGUAAAGAAGCACCGGCUAACUACGUG